AAUAUAUAUAUAUAAUAUAAGUAUCAUAUGGUGUAUUAUCUUGUUGUUGAUAUGUGUAGGAAGCUUUUAAUGCUUUACAACUGUCAACAUAUGAAUAUAUUUGCCUUGACCGCUGGGGAACUAUACGUAAACAACACGGACAGUAAACAUUUGCUAUCUAUUUCAGAGGUUUUGCGGUCAUUUAUUCAGAAUGAAGGGCACUUGAAGACCGCCAGACCAAAACAAGAUUUAUUUAGGUAUGUGGAAGGAUAAAAUCACGUGACAGAUUGUUUUGUAUCUAAGUCAGUGACAUACUAAAUGCAUUUUACAUAAGAUUUAUGUUUUAUAUAUUUUUAGUCCUUCAAGGACAUUCGGUUUAUUAAAGGCUAAUAUAGUAUUAAGUUUAUCGCUGAUGGAAUGCUUUUUAGUAUGCCUAUCAACACAGAUAUAUAGUCUUAGUACACCGCACUUCAAAAUAUUAUUGGAAGCAUAAAAACUAACCGCGUUUUGAUUUACUAAUCACAAUCUGUUCUCACGGCAAUAUUGAAAAAUAAUUUACUAUUUUCGCCAGAUGUCCCUUCUAGAUCGGUUUCCAAUAACAUCAUCAAUAAAACAUUUAUUUGUCAGUCAGUUGUGAAUUUUAUCUUGUUCAAUUUUCCCGCGAGAACGAAUAGCAAGAAGUACAUUAUAGUAAUGUUGAUUCCUAGUCAGGUAUAAACUGUAUAAACGAUAUUAUUUCUUAUGCAGCAAAAAUACUGCAAUCUGAUUGGUUAAUUACCCCGGUGUAAAUAACACCCUACCCUGGUUCACC
rnacentral:lncRNA from 1 species